rnacentral:rRNA from 1 species
UCCAGACUCCUACGGGAGGCAGCAGUGAGGAAUAUUGGUCAAUGGGCGCGAGCCUGAACCAGCCAAGUCGCGUGAGGGAGGACGGCCCUACGGGUUGUAAACCUCUUUUGUCAGGGAGCAACGCCGGCUACGUGUAGCCGGACUGAGAGUACCUGAAGAAAAAGCAUCGGCUAACUCCGUGCCAGCAGCCGCGGUAAUACGGAGGAUGCGAGCGUUAUCCGGAUUUAUUGGGUUUAAAGGGUGCGUAGGCGGACGCUUAAGUCAGCGGUAAAAUUGCGGGGCUCAACCUCGUCGAGCCGUUGAAACUGGGUGCCUUGAGUGGGCGAGAAGUACGCGGAAUGCGUGGUGUAGCGGUGAAAUGCAUAGAUAUCACGCAGAACUCCGAUUGCGAAGGCAGCGUACCGGCGCCCAACUGACGCUGAAGCACGAAGGCGUGGGUAUCGAACAGGAUUAGAUACCCGAGUACA